rnacentral:tRNA from 1 species
GGAUCUAUGGUCUAGCGGCUAUGACGUCGCCUUCACAUGGCGAAGAUCGCCGGUUCAAAUCCGGCUAGACCCA